CCACAUUUUACCCAAACAGUACACCUUCCUCACGACAUCAUACUGGCUUUACUUAUAGGAGUGAGAACUGACUAAUGACUGUUAAUCUGUUUUAAUAUUUGUCAAGGGAAAAAUGAGGCCCACUUGCUAGGGGAAUAAUCCCAGAAACUACAAUACAUGCCGUAAAGCAACAGUAUACCGAAGUGUGUGAGGACGUUAAUUAGUAUUCCAUCCUAAAUCUUUUUUUGUUAAUUAAAUCUAGAUUUGAAAGGUACAGACUGC